UUUUUUUUUUUUUUUUUUUUGAGGGCCACACUCACGGCAUAUGGAGGGUCCCAGGCUAAGUGUCUAAUCUGAGCUACAGCUGCUGGCCUACACCACAGCUACAGUAAUGUGGGAUCCAAGCCUUAUCUAUGACCUACACCACAGCUCAUGGCAAUGCUGGAUUCUUAACCCACUGAGUAAGGCCGGGAUCUAACCCACAACCUCAUUGUUCCUAGUUGGAUUCAUUUCUGCUGCGUCAUGACAGGAACUCCUGACAUUUUUUUUUUUUUUUUUAAUGCUGCGUCUGAAACACAUGGAAGUUCCCAGGCUAGGGGCUGAAUCAGAGCUGCAGCUGCAGGACUACACCACAGCCACAGCAGCAUCAGAUCCAGGCCACAUCUGCUACCUGUGCCACAGCUUGCAGUAACAUUGGAUCUUUAAUGGCCAGGGAUUGAACCUGUAUCCUUCCAGACACUGUGUUAGGUUCUUAACCUGCUGAGGCACAGCAGAAACUCCUCAUUUUAUUUUUAAAGUAAAUACUUGGUUUCACUGGAGGGAGAUCUGGUGAGAGGUGGGUCAGUCAAGCACAGGGAUACCUACGUUGUUGCUGGUGGGUUUCCUCCCCCUCUGAAAAUCCAGACCCCAUGUCUAAAAAGGUAUUUUAUAUUCUAGGAAAGAAAUUGUGAAUAAGACUAGGCAGUCUUGGGACUCUGUAGUUUUCACUCUCUAACAUGAUAUUAGGUUUGUUUUUUGUUUUUGUCUUUUUGCCAUUUCUUGGGCUGCUCCCGUGGCAUAGGGAGGUUCCCAGGCCAGGGGUCGAAUCAGAGCUGUAGCCGCCGGCCUACGCCAGAGCCACAGCAACGCAGAAUCUGAGCUGCGUCUCCAACCCACACCACAGUUCACGGCAAUGCCGGAUCUUUAACCCUUGCUCAGGUCAGGGAUCGAACCCGCAACCUCAUGGUUCUUAGUUGGAUUUGUUAACCACUGCGCCAUGACAGGAACUCCUGGAAUCAGGUUUUGUAGGUCAGAAUCCCCUACCCACCUCUGGCCUUGGGUGUGAUUUAUAAUCUCUUCCAGCCUCAGUUUUCUCAUCUGUAAAGUACCUGCCUCUGAGAAUUGUUUGUGAAGAUUAAAUAUGAUAAUGGAUGAGAAGUAUUCACCUUUGUAGGUAGUAAGCGCUCAAUUCAUGAGAUGUUGUUAUCUUUAUUAUCAUUGGAUCCAGUGAGCAACUGGAUUAAAGUCUCCAUUCAACAAAUGCAUAUAUCCUGUUAUUUCUAUAUGCAAAUGAAUGUGUGAGAUUCCAAAGGACUCACAGCUGAAUGAAACAUGCCCUCAAAGGAUUAAUUCCACUAUUAAGUAGGAAUAAAUUUAAUUGUCAGCAUUGCUUUAAUCUCAUCUUAUAUGUUAAGUAUUUUCUAUACAUUUGCUCAUAUAGUUUUCAAAAUAAACCUUAGGCUAAGCACUAUAUAAAAGCCCAUUUUACAGAUGCAGGAUCUGAGGCCUGGAAACUGAGGUAGGUUUGUGUGUCUUUGCCUCCCUGGAGCCACUGCCUCUGAGUCCUCAUGAUCUGGGGUGACUGUAGGCUCUGAUUCAGGUGAUGGGGAAGAGGUGGGGUGCAGCAGGGGAAUUAGCAGUGCCGUGGGCGUCCCCAGGAGGAAAAGUUGAUGUGAAGACAGUUUGCAGUCAAUCUCAGGACAGGCCUUUUGGAGGAGGUUGUAUUUGUUGCUCAUAGGACAUUUAUAGAGAUGGUGGAAUGUUCCUCUUAAGUGGAGGGGACAGCAGAGCAAAGGCCCAGAGGCAGGAACAUUCCAUGUGCCCCAAGGCCCAGACUGUCUGGGGUGGAGGAAACACGUGAGGCAAUCAUGGAAUGAGGUAACAUGCUCCCACCCCCACCCAAUCUGAUGCAGUUUAUCAGGUCUGAGGAUAGACAUGCCUUUUGGCAUCUCAUCUUGGGUCAUUUGGUCAAGUUUUCUGGAGUAUGCUCUCUGACCCCUACACAAAAUGCCACUUACUGCUUACCUUUUUUCUUCUUCUUCUAAUUUUGUAUACAUUUUCUUUUUUAAAAAUUGAAUAAAAGAUGAUUCAAAUUCUAUAGUGCUUUACAACUUUCAAAAGUGUUGCACACAGGAUUUCAUAUAAUCCUAUAAGAGCCCUUCUUGUCCCCCCACCCCUAUGUUGUCCCACCCCCCUUCCCUCUCCCCACCAGUUUGUUCUUUGUAUCUGGGAGUCUGCUUCUUUUUUGUUUUAUCCACUUGUUUAUUUUUUAGAGUCCACAUAUUAGUGAUAUUGUACAGUAUUUAUCUUUCUCUGACUGAUCUAUUUCACUUAGCAUCAUCCCCUCCAAGCCUACCCAUGAUGCUGCAAAUGGCCAGAGUUCAUUCUUUUUUACAGCUAUGUAGUAAUUCAUCGCAUAUUUCUAUACCACAUCUUUAUCCACUCAUCUAUUGAUGGACACUUAGGUUGCUUCCAUACUUUGGCAAUUGUAAAUAAUGUUCCUGUGAACAUUGGGGUGCAUGGCAUGCUUCCUUCAUCAACUUGGCAGGAAUUCAAAACUGUCGAGUAGCUGUAGGUUUUGAUAUGACCUGAGAAAGCCUUUAUGGAGAGCAUUUGGGAAGAAUGCUUCAAAAAUGGUCACAUUUUGACUUAGCAUUUCCAUUCCUAGGAGCCUUGUCUUUGGAAAUACUUAAGCCCGCAAAAGACAUAUUAAGGGUUAUAAUGUUUCCUGUAGUGCUGCUAAUAAUGAUAAAAAUUUGAAGUUGACUUACAUAUAUUGUAGGAGAUGGAAAAAUUAUGGCACCUUCCUAAAGUAGCAUAUUCUACAUUUAACUAAGAAAAUGAGGUGAAUGUCUGUGUCCUGACAUGUACACACAUCAUGAUAUAUUAAAUUUAAAAAGCCAGAGAAAGGGAGUUCCUGUUGUGACUCAGUGGAAACAAACCCCACUAGUAUCCAUGAGGAUGUGGGUUCAAUCCCUGGCCUUGCUCAGUGGCUUAAGGAUCCAGUGUUGCCGUGAGUUGUGGUGUAGGUUCGAAGACCUAGCUCGGAUCUGGUGUUGCCAUGGCUGUGGUGUAUGCCAGCAGCUGUAGCUCUGAUUUGACCCUUAGCCUGGAAAUUUCUUUUUCUUUUUUUUUUUUAAGUUUAUAUGAUUUUUAUUUUUUCCAUUACAGUUGAUUUUCAGUGUUCUGUCAGUUUCUAUUGUACAGCAAAGUGAUGCAGUUUUCUUUUUCGCACCUUAUCCUCCAUCGUGUUCCAUCACAAAUGACAGCUGACCUCAUGGGUGCAUUUGUAUGUGCCUUAAAAAUAUGAAAGAAUGGAAUGACUGGGAACUAUUAGCCAUGGCUACCUCUAAAUAGGGUGGCCAUCUGUCCCAGUCGGCUGGAUAAAUAUCUGGUCUACACUUGUCGUUCUGGUGUAAUUAUUCAUUGUUUCAUUUGUUAGUGGCCUGGUUUGGACAAUGAGUUAUAUGGUUACCCUCCCUUCCCCUGAGAACUGGAGUUGGGGCAAGAGUAAUGGGAAACUGGGUAUUACAUACAUGACUUGGUGUAGUUUACAGAAAGCAAGUGUUAUUUUUAUAAGGUAAAUUGAGGAUUAGGCCCCUAAUACAUUAUGCCAUGGUUCUCUGUUGAGCCACCAUGCGUGGUCAUUACUAAGGGAGAAGUUACCUUCUUUGUUUUUGUCUGAUAUCUGAGCAUCUCCUUUUUUCACUUUAAAUAAUAAGUCUUCAGUCACCUCACUGAAGAUGUUCCUUGUCUGAGAAAUGAACUUAUUAGCAUCCCCACUAAUAGGCUUUUUCAAUGACCUAGUGGGGAUUUUUGCAUUUCCUUCUUUCAUUUGGCUCCUAGGUCAUUGAAAUGAAAUCCUCCUUUGGAAAAACAACACACCUUUCGGAAAAAUGUAAAAAUUGUGGCCUUCCCCACCCCCGGGUUCCGCAAACAUAAAUUUAGACACAAUAGGAGUCAGAAUUAUUAAAUGAGCUCCAUGCAAACUCUUGACCUAGAGUGGGCUUCAGAGUUGGCUGGGUUCCUCUUUUCUCUGCUUCCCAGUAAAAUUCUAGAGGAAAUGGGGAUGGGUGGGAAGUGGCUGCAGUUAAAAAAUAGCAGUGAUUCAGACAGAGCAGACAUCAGAGCACCUUGGAUGUGCCAGGCACCAUGCUGGGUGAUUUCUCAUCUGUCAUCGUCUAUAUUCUUUAUCAGAACUCUUUCAGAGUAUUAUUAGCUCCAUUUUAUGCCUAUGGAAACAGAGGCUCAGAAAAGCCAAGUACCUGCGGCAGGUACUUGGGCUUCCAAUUUGGCUCUUUUGUUUUGGGAUUAUUUAUUUAUUUAAAUUUAUUUUCUUUUUGCGGCUGUACCUGCGGCAUAUGGGAGUUCCUGGGCUAGGGGUUGAAUUGGAGCUGCAGCUGCUGGCCUAUGCUACAGCCACAGCAAUGCUGGAGCUGAGCUGCAUCUGUGACUUAUGCUGCAGCUUGCAGCAACGCUGGAUCCUUAACCCACUGAGCAAGGCCAGGGAUCAAACCCACCUCCUCAUGGACACUAUGUUAGGGUCUUAACCUGCUGAGCCACAACAGGAACUCCCGAUUUGGGAUUUUGGUGCUCAAUCUGCUUUACUAGAACUUGUCUACCUCAGCACGAUUGCCAUUUUGUGCAGAAUAAUUCCUUGCGUUGGGGGCUGUGGUGGGUGUUGUAAAGUAUUUAGCUCAUUCUUGCAUCUUUGGCCCCUACUUAUUAGAUACCAGUAAACCCUCUCACCCACUAGUUUUAAUAAUCUAAAUGUGUCUUUAGACAUUGCUAGAAGUCUCCGAAUGAGGCAUGGCAUUGCACACAAUAGUCCCUGGUUGAGAACGACGACAGUACACCAAAAUCAGAGAACAUCGCAGAAUCCAGACAGAUCAAGAGUUAAGAACAGGCCAGCAAAGGUAGAGACCAUUACGUUAGUCACUCUGUGUAUUCUCGGUCUCAUUUUUUCUUUGCAUGUCAUUUGUAUUACCUGGGAAGUAGGAAGAAGCAGUUGAAAAUCAUUAGUUAACAUCCGUGCUGGUCAAAAUGUUGAAAAGGAUGAAGAUACUGGACUAAGAAGACAUUUCUUAGCUUAUUAAUCUUGGUCAUCCUCUGCUCCUCUUCACCUUGGCCCAUCAGGGAUAUACUCUCACCACGAAGACUCAUGUUAAGAAAUUGCAUGGGACUCCAUUCUGAGUUAUAGCAAGAGGCUUCGGCGAAACUCUUCAGUGAUAUUUGGUCUUUGUGCCCUGCAUUUCUCUGUAAAGACCCUACAAGUCUAUUACUCAGUAAGUUAAUGGCUCAUUUCUGGGAAGUCCCCGUUAAAUGAGUUAACAAAGCCUCUCCAUCUGCUUUUCUUAUCCAUUUCCACCUCUUCUUUUUGUAAUUGGCUGUUUAUUUCUGAGCCUUAAUAUCUUGGCUUUGUGUUUCAAGGCAAGGCUGGUGAUAGGGAACUUUUAAUCUAUUCUUAUAUUUAUAUGUCCAAGAAAAACUUGGAAUGAAUGGUUGCUAGAUAAAAUACAGUUUAUAUUACAGAAAUUUAGUAGUUCAUGAUAUAAUUACUUUUCUUUGUCCUUUGCUACAAACUAAGUUUAAGAUAUUACUUGAUGACCUAUCCAAGAAAAAUUUUAAGUGUUUCACAGAUUAAAGCCUGUAUGCAUUUUAAAGUUGGAUGUUUCAGGUUAGCCAACUAUAGAUAAUGUCAGUACUUGUUCUUUUAAACUUUUUUUCACAUUUUGCUGUUUUUCUUUUUCCGUGUUCUUUUUCAUUUAUAGGAUGUAAUUUUAAAAUACCCACUUUGCUAUUCAUUUCAUUUAAAACAAGCACAAGCAAACCUGAUGGAGACAAAUUUAAGUGAUACAGGGAGAGUUAGAGCUAUGGAAAGAGGAAAUAUUUGAGUGUCUGUUGGGUAUUGUAUUAGCCCUUUAAAAAAGUUACCUCAGUUUCUUUCUUUUCACUUUGGUUUUCUUUUUUCUUUCUUUCUUUUUUUUUUUUUUUUUUUUUUUUGCUUCAGAUUUGCAUUUUACUUAAUCUUGGAAAAAUGACAUAUCAAAUAGUAUAAUACUGUGAACUGGUCAUAGUUCACUCUCUUCUCCUUCCCAUUUCUUGGUGAAGUAUAUUGUUCAGCUCCUUGGAAAGCAAAUUCAGGGAUGGAGAUGACCAUAUGGGACCUCUGUUCAGGAAUGCUCUAGGGAUCAACUCCUCUGGAGGAGAAUUUAGGUUGUUGGGUAGUGUCAGCUCACCCCAGCUUGAUCCACAGCUGCGUUUGAGUCCUACACCACAGCUCACGGCAGUGCUGGAUUCUUAACCCACUGAGCAAGGCCAGGGCUGAACCCAAGUCCUUGUGGACACUAGUCGAGUUUAUUACUGCUGAGAACUCCCAUUGUGUUUGGAUUUGAAUUCACCCUCACCUAGUCCCCAUACGUAUACUUUUACUACUCUGUGACUGUUGCGAUGUUAGUUGCCACAGAAAAGGAUACUCAGAGCAAUCCUUUUCAUUGUCCAUGUGGCUUUACAUCUGCUGCAGUGUGGGGACACCUCUGAGGUUUGCUGAAUUGGCUUUCUCCAACAUCCUUUUUGUCAUGGGGGGUUGAAAGGCAAGGUGAAAUCAUUUGUCCCAGCUGAAUCAUCGGCCGGAAGAGCAGUCUGAACUCUAGCCCUCUAUUAUGUUCCUCAGCCAGGGGAAAUGGGUGUCCCUCCAGUUCCCUGCGGAAGCACUUGACUCACCAGUCCCCUUAGCAUUUACAUCCCACAGGUAACACUUGUCUUCCUCCGAGAAAGCUUUUAAGUCCUGGUCCUUUGCUUACCGCUGGCUGGCAUUCUGCAUGCCCCCCCACGGCACCAGAGCCAGGACCAGCUAUAAAAUAUUUCCUGUGUCAUGGCUCAGUGGUUAACGAACCUGACCAGGAUCUGUCAGGUUUGAUCCCUGGCCUUACUCAUUGGGUUAAGGAUCUGGCGUUGCUGUGAGCUGUGGUGUAGGUCGCAGAUGCGGCUCGGAUCUGGCGUCGAUGUGGCUUUGGUGUAGGCAGGCAUCUACAGCUCUGAUUCGACCCCUAGCCUGGGAACCUCCAUAUACCACGGGUGCAGCU
rnacentral:lncRNA from 1 species